UUAAUUCGAAGCAACGCGCAGAACCUUACCAACCCUUGACAUCCUCGGACCGCCAGAGAGAUCUGGCUUUCACUUCGGUGACCGAGUGACAGGUGCUGCAUGGCUGUCGUCAGCUCGUGUCGUGAGAUGUUCGGUUAAGUCCGGCAACGAGCGCAACCCACAUCCUUAGUUGCCAGCAGUUCGGCUGGGCACUCUAGGGAAACUGCCCGUGAUAAGCGGGAGGAAGGUGUGGAUGACGUCAAGUCCUCAUGGCCCUUACGGGUUGGGCUACACACGUGCUACAAUGGCAGUGACAAUGGGUUAAUCCCAAAAAACUGUCUCAGUUCGGAUUGGGGUCUGCAACUCGACCCCAUGAAGUCGGAAUCGCUAGUAAUCGCGUAACAGCAUGACGCGGUGAAUACGUUCCCGGGCCUUGUACACACCGCCCGUCACACCAUGGGAGUUGGGUUUACCCGAAGGCCGUGCGCUAACUUUUGAGGCAGCGGACCACGGUGAGCUCAGCGACUGGGGUGAAAGUCGUAACAAAGGUAGCCGUCCU
rnacentral:rRNA from 1 species